rnacentral:rRNA from 1 species
CCAAUAGCGUAUAUUAAAGUUGUUGCAGUUAAAAAGCUCGUAGUUGAAUUUCGGGAUCAGUACGCUGGUCGUGCCCUUGGUAUGUACUGGUGUUACUGGUUCCUACCUUCUGACGAACCGUCAUGUCAUUAAUUUGGUGUGGCGGGAAAUCAGGACUGUUACUUUGAAAAAAUUAGAGUGUUUAAAGCAGGCUCGCGCUUGAAUACAUUAGCAUGGAAUAAUGAAAUAGGACGUUCGAUCCUAUUUUGUUGGUUUCUAGGAUUGGCGUAAUGAUUAAUAGGGAUAGUUGGGGGCAUUAGUAUUCAAUUGUCAGAGGUGAAAUUCUUGGAUUUAUUGAAGACUAACUACUGCGAAAGCAUUUGCCAAGGAUGUUUUCAUUAAUCAAGAACGAAAGUUAGGGGAUCGAAGACGAUCAGAUACCGUCGUAGUCUUAACCAUAAACUAUGCCGACUAGGGAUCGGAUGAUGUUAUUUUUAAUGACUCAUUCGGCGCCUUACG